GAGGGAGGGAUAAUAAAUGCGUUUCUCAGAGCCGUUAACUUAUCGCGCUGUUAAAAAGGUGAAUGAUUAAAUAUGCGAAGUAACAUGAAGCUGCCGGGACUCUAUUUGAAAGUCAGCACGCGGACCCGGUAACAGAAACAGACCCCGCCUCUUGUCUGUAUUUUAUUCCCACCGGGGUGUCUCCCCUCUUCUCUCUGUUCCCCCCCGUAUCUCAGCUGCUGCUCGCCUGCUGAACAAUGUAACCGCAUCAACAUAACGGGAGUUUGGAAGAGAGAGAGUGUUGGAUAGAAAAAACCCGACCGCGGUUUUGUUUUCACCUGCUUCUCCUCUGAAGAUUGUUCAACAACAACAAACUCUGGAUUUGUGUUGGGAAUGAAAGUUGGCGGAUACUAAAUGAACAGGUAAGCGGGUGCCAUGCCAGCUGCUGUUCCCCCUCUGCUCCCCCUCUCCACCUGGUGGUGGUGUCUGGUACUGCUGCAGCUUCCACAGGCCCUGACCCAGCCCCAGCUGGACCCUAACCCAGAGAAGGCCUCUCCCGCUGGGCAGGCCUUCCCUUACCUCUCCCUGGAUGGAUCUCCCCUCAACCACCUCCUACUGGACCCCAGGUCUGGUUAUCUGUACGUGGGGGCGGUCAACCAUCUCUACCAUCUGUCCCCUGACCUCCAGGUGCUGUCCUCCAGUCAGACUGGCCCCAAACUAGACAGUCCUGAAUGCCUGCCCCCCAUAGUCCCCAAGGACUGCCCCACCGCCCGGGUCACCCCCAACACCAAUAAGAUCCUGCUCCUGGAGGAAGGCGUGGACGCGGUGGGGUCAGAGGUCGGGGCAAGGAGCCUGAUCGUAUGCGGGACAUUGUUCCAAGGUAUCUGUGACAAGAGGAGUCUGGGUAAUGUGUCCGAGGUGCUCUAUCAGACGUCCAACCCAGUGGACACGCAGUACGUUGCCGCCAACGACCCCCGCGUCUCCACCGUGGGCGUGAUCUUGAACCAGAAGGGGGUGGGGCUGAUGCUAGUGGGGCGUGGCUACACUAGUAAAGGCCCCAGCGACAUCCCACCAAUCACAACGCGCCGUCUAUCCCCCAGUUCCUCCCCCUCCCGCCAGGCCUUCUCUCAAGACGAAGAACUAGGGAAGCUGGUUGUCGGGAGCUACUCCGAGUACAACAACAACUUCAUAUCAGCGUUUAACCACAGCGACCACGUCUACUUCCUGUUCUCGCGGAGGGAUAUGUGGCACAGGAAGGAGUACCGGACCUACGUUUCUCGUCUCUGCGCCGGGGACCGGAGCUUCUACUCCUACGUGGAGGUUCCGUUGGAAUGUUCCGGCGGUUACAAUCUCGCCCAGGGGGCUUCCCCCGCCGAACACCAGGGGCGGCCGGCGCUGUUCGUUGCCAUGGCGGCGGGGCAGGCGUCGACGCCCACGGCGACGGGUCGCUCGGCGCUCUGUGUUUAUGGGAUGUCAGAGCUGGACGCGUCGCUGCAGAGGGCCCAGGAGCUGUGUUAUACAGAGGGAGGAAAAGGAAGGACGGGACAUGAGGAGGCAUACAUAGAGUAUGAGGUGUCGUCCAAGUGUCUACGCCUGCCCAAGGAUUCGUUAAAGGAGUACCCAUGUGGAGGGGAACACACCCCCAGCCCCAUCGCCUCGGCGGUUCCCCUGUCAGCCACCCCCUCUCUCACCAGGGAAACCCAGCUCACCGCUGUCACCACCGCUACCGAGGCCGGCCACACCAUCGCCCUGCUGGGGGACAAGAAGGGCUGGCUGCAUAAGGUAUUUCUCCAGCCUGACACAACAGGGACAUUGUAUCAGAGUGUAUUGGUGGACCAGGACAGUCCAGUCAACGCUGACCUACUACUGGACCAGUCUGGACAGAAUGUCUACGUCCUCACUGAUGGCAAGGUGUCCAAGGUGGCUGUAUCUCAGUGUGAACAGCAGCCUGACUGCCAGUCCUGUCUGUCUGUCAGAGAUCCUUACUGUGGCUGGUGUGUCCUGGAGGGAAGAUGCACUCGUAGACUGGAGUGUAGUCGUGAGGGCCAAGCCAACCACUGGCUGUGGAGCUACCAGCCUGCCAACCAGCCUGCCAACCAGCCUGCCAACCAGCCUGCCAACCAGUGUGUGACUGUCCAGAGCCUAAAGCCUGCCAUCCAGAGCAGAGAGGAGGCGACUCAGGUGUCUCUAACAGUGGCCCAGCUGCCCUCCCUGUCAGAGGAGGAGUCUCUUUCCUGCUCCUUUGGAACCCUGCCCCCUCAGCCAGCCAUCAUCAAGGGAACCACCAUCACCUGUCAAUCACCCCUGCCUGAGCUCCUCCCACCCAGCCCACCAGGAAGUGACCACGUGUCCCUACGUGUGUCUGUGAUGUUCAGAGACGUGGCCAUCUCUAGCAGUGACAUCAUCUUCUACGACUGUCGAGCUGUGGGGCGACUCAACACCACAUCUCCGUGUAUGGCGUGUGUGGGCAGUGUGUGGCCUUGUAGCUGGUGUGUCCUGGAUGGGCUGUGUACCCACGCCAACAACAGCUGUCCCAGGCAGCACACCAUACACAACUCACUGGAGGAGCAGUUGGAGCCGCGGGGUCCAGAAUCUUGUCCCUGUGUGUGGGCUCUACAGAGCUCUCCUCUGGUCCCCAUGGGCUUCCUGUCCCCUCUGACCCUACUGGGCAGGAACCUGGACAUGUUUCAGGGGGAGGAGCAAUAUGUGUGUGUCGUGGUUGUGGAAGGGGAGGAGCUUAAACUGAACGCCACUCUGGAGAAAGAUCCGGAAACCAUGACGUACACCUUCACCUGCUCUGCCCACAAGUUCCAGUACCCAGUUAACCAGUUGGAAUAUUCAGCUCCCAUCUAUCUACAGAGAGGCUCCCAUCACAUCGACUCUGCACCCAAUCUCAGACUGCAGCUAUAUGACUGUUCAGUGGGCCAGUCUGACUGUAGUCAGUGCAGAGCGGUGCCGUCAGAUUACGGCUGUGUCUGGUGUGGAGGAGAGUCACCUGGCUGUGCCUACCACCUGUCCUGUACCAGCUCACCUGGGCCAGAAGACGCCUGCCCUCCGCCUCACAUCAUACAGAUCCAGCCAGUGAGUGGUCCGUUGGAAGGGGGUGUGCUGGUGACCAUCCAUGGGUCUAACCUGGGGAUGCACUACCAGGACAUCCAGGGAGGGGUGACUGUAGCUGGGGUCAGCUGUCUGCCUCAGCCCCGUGGAUACCUCAUCUCUACCAGGAUAGUGUGUGAGCUCCAGCCCAGUAAACAGGAGACAGAGGGGCCAGUCAUCGUUACCGUGGGAGACUCAGAACCAGGACAGUCACUGCAGACGUUCACCUACCAGGACCCCCAGUUGACUGGUAUAGUCCCUGAUAAGGGCCCUGUAUCAGGAGGGACCAGCCUGACUAUCCAGGGGACUCGGCUACUAACGGGACAGAGGAAGGACCUGACUGCAUACGUAGGACAGCAACCCUGCUACAUUGUUGAGGAGGUGAAUGGAACUCACCUGGUAUGCAGGACCAGCCCCAGUAACCAGACAGCAGAGCUGACAGUGAGGGUGUUGUUUGGGAAGGCAGAGAGGAGCGUACCUGGGCAGGUGUUUCACUACAUGGAGGACCCUGUCAUCACCGCAGCAUCGCCUGCUGAGAGCUUCUACGAGGGUGGGCGUAGUAUCAAGGUGAGUGGGCGUAACCUGGACGUGGUGCAACAGCCAAUGAUCUCCGUGCGGUUGGAGCACAUGGCAGAGAACAUCCUGGUCAUGAGAAGGAGGAGAUAUGCCAGACUGUUGGCCAAGAACCACCUACUAGUCUUCAACAGCACCGUGUCAAAGAAGCAGGAGCGUUGUAGGGUGGUCUCGUACUUUGAGAUGACCUGUGUGACCCCGAGUGUGACCCAUGACUCCAAGGUCUUGGGGGUGUGGUUUGAGCUGGACAACGUUAAGGUGUCGUUUGAGAGCGUCGCGGGGAAGACGUUCUCUUACUACCCCAACCCCGAGCUGUUGGCUCUGAACAGAGAUGACCCAGACACACCCUACCGCUUCAAACCUGGAGGGGUCAUCGCUGUAGAGGGUAAGGACCUGACGCGUGCCAUGACUCGUGAUGAAGUGGUAGCCAGGUUAGGUGACCAGGAGUGUGAGGUCAAGACUCUAGACAGCACUCACCUGUACUGUGAACCACCUGAGAAACAACCAGACAGUCUAGGGAGCAACCAACUGCCCAGCCUGAGGGUGGUAAUGGGGAAGCUGAAUGUAGACCUGGGUACAGUGCAGUAUGAUACAGAAGGCCUCUCACCUGUCCCUCUGGCUGCCCAGGUGGGUCUGGCUGCAGGGGCUGCUGUGGUGGUCCUAGUGGUGCUGGUCAUCAUCCUCAUGUACAGGAGGAAGAGCAAACAGGCUCUGAGAGACUACAAGAAGGUUCUGGUUCAGCUGGAGACUCUGGAGAUCAAUGUGGGAGACCAGUGCAGGAAGGAGUUCACAGAUCUGAUGACAGAGAUGAUGGAUCUGAGUAGUGAUGUGGGUGGACCAGGUAUUCCUCUCCUGGACUAUAAGACGUAUGCAGAGCGCGUGUUCUUCCCCGGCCAGAGGGGGGCGCCCCUGAGUCAGAACCUGGACCUGCCAGAGUCCCGCAGACGGACGGUGGAACAGGGCCUGGGACAACUCAACAACCUCCUCAACAACAGACUGUUCCUUAUCAGGUUCAUCCACACGCUGGAGGCCCAGCAGAACUUCUCCCAGCGUGACCGUGGCUACGUGGCGUCUCUCCUAACCAUGGCCCUGCACGACAAGCUGGAGUACUUCACCGAUGUCAUGAAGACCUUACUGGGAGACCUGGUGCAGCAGUACGUCGCCAAGAACCCCAAACUCAUGCUGCGCAGGACGGAGACGGUGGUGGAGAAGAUGCUAACCAACUGGAUGUCCAUCUGUCUCUACUCCUUCCUCAAGGAGGUGGCUGGGGAGCCCCUGUAUAUGCUGUACAGAGCCAUCAAGUACCAAGUGGAUAAGGGACCAGUAGACGCUGUGACGGGGAAGGCCAAGCGCACCCUGAACGACAGCCAUCUACUGAGAGAGGACAUCGACUACUGCUCUAUCACUCUGACGGUGAUGGUGAAGAGUGGUGUGGAGGUGCAGCCGUGUCCCGUCAAGGUGUUGGACACCGACACCAUCACACAGGUCAAAGACAAGAUCCUAGACCAGAUCUAUAAAGGAGCUCCCUUCUCACAGAGACCUGCUGCAGACUCACUAGACCUGGAAUGGCGCUCGGGACAGGCGGGUCACCUGACACUGUCAGACGAUGACGUCACAGCGAUCGUCCAGGGGCGCUGGAAGAAACUCAACACUCUGCAGCACUACAAGGUGCCAGACGGAGCUACAGUGGCUCUGAUCCCCAGAUCAGCUGCUGUCGUGGGGAUUCACCAGGUCUACCAGACUGGAGAGAAGACACCCAUGUUGGAGGGGGAGGGGGAGGGGGAGGAGGGGCUGAGGCUGUGGCACCUGGUGAAGUCCAACGAGGAACCAGAGAUCCCCAAACACAGGAAGAGCAGCAUGAGAGAGAGGGAGAGGGCCAAGGCCAUACCAGAGAUAUACCUGACACGACUACUAUCUAUGAAGGGUACGCUGCAGAAGUUUGUCGACGAUGUGUUCGUAGCCAUCCUCAACACCAAGCGCCCUCCUCCCAUCGCUGUGCGCUUCUUCUUUGACUUCCUGGAUGACAUGGCGGAGAAACACGGCAUCGACGACCCCGAGACCGUGCACAUCUGGAAGACCAACAGCCUGCCUCUGAGGUUCUGGGUCAACAUCCUGAAGAACCCUCAGUUUGUGUUUGACGUCCAGGUGACCGAUAGCGUGGACGCCGUCCUCUCUGUCAUCGCGCAGACGUUCAUCGACUCCUGCACCACCUCCGAACACAAAGUCGGACGGGACUCUCCAGUGAACAAGCUGCUCUACGCCAGAGAGAUCCCCAGAUACAAGCAGCUGGUUGAGAGGUACUACAGUGACAUCCACAGUGCAGCAUCUGGCUGUUACCAAGAGAUGAACUCUACUCUAACGGAGCUGUCUGGGAGUUUUGGAUCAGACAUGAACAGUCUGGUGGCUCUGCUUGAGUUGUAUAAGUACAUCAACAAAUACUACGACCAGAUCAUCACAUCUCUGGAGGAGGACGCAGCUGGACAGAAGAUGCAGCUGGCCUAUCGUCUCCAGCAGGUCGCCGCCCUGGUGGAGAACAAGGUCACUGACCUCUAACUUGUCACCUCUGACCUGUGACCUAUCGUCUACAGCAGGUCGCCGCCCUGGUGGAGAACAAGGUCACUGACCUCUAACCUGUCACCUCUGACCUGUGACCUAUCGUCUCCAGCAGGUCGCUGCCCUAGUGGAGAACCACAGACUGCCAGGGCUGCGUUCAGUAAAACAGAACGUUACACCAGAUACAGCAGAGAACGCGGAACACUCAGAUCCACUUCCUCUUGGGUUUUUUUUUCCGGGAUCGGGGCCCACUCUUGGUCUGUUUAUUGCCCCCGCCCGCGGAGGGGGGGGGUGCCUCAGAGCGAAACAUCUCACUGGAAAAAUGUAUUCUGGUAGGGGCGGAGUUGUUUCCUCUCUGGCGUUAGAUAUUAUGGAGGAACCAAACCCACUAGGGGAAAAGCACAUGAGAAAGGAAACGCCCACUUACACAGAUCAUUUAAAUACAAUGGCCGGAGUAAACUUAUCUUAUUUAUCCCCCAUAAUGCUUUAUGUUACGUACGUGUGUGUGUGUGUGUGUGUGUGUGUGUGUGUGUGUGUGUGUGUGUGUAUGUGUGUAUGUGUGUAUGUGUGUGUGUGUGUGUGUACAUAGUUCGGAAGUUGCUUCCAGGGGCAGUUUGGAACUCGGUAGUGAGCGUUGCACCCGAGGGCAGAUGAUUUUUACGCGCUUCGAGCUUCAGCACUUGGUGGUCACGUUCUGUGAGCUUGUGUGGCCUACCACUUUGUGGCUGUGCCGUUGUUGCUCCUAGACGUUUCCACUUUGCAAUAAACAGCACUUAACAGUUGCCCGGGGCAGCUCUAGCAGGGCAGAAAUGUGAUGAACUGACUUGUUGGAAAGGUGGCAUCCUAUGACGGUGCCACGUUGAAAGUCACUGAGCUCUUCAGUAAGGGCCAUUCUACUGCCAAUGUUUGUCUAUGGAGAUUGCAUGGCUGUGUGCUCAAUGUUAUCCACCUAUCAGCAACGGGUGUGGCUGAAAUAUAAUCCCCUAAUUUGAAGGGGUGUCCACAUACUGCUGUCUAUAUAUAUAUAUAUAUGGGUGUAGAGACGGGGUACGUUCCAGGGUGUCUUUAUUGCAGUCAUGCUGCACAGAUGAUCACAUGUCACACCGCCUAUAUUAACCCCCUGAGCUGUACAGGUCGACUGCAACAUGGACGUUCUGUAACGAGCCCACAGUCUAGUCUUAACAGUCAGGUUGACCACUAUAGCCACCGUUGGGGGGCCUCCACCCUGCAGCUCUCCAGACUCUCUCAGUACUGUCUCUACAGAUGGAUGGUCAAGUUGACCACUGUUUUCCCCCCGGUUGGAGGAUUCCUAGAGUCAGGUUGACCACUAUAUCCACCGUUGGCGGGCCUCCACCCUGCAGCUCUCCAGACUAUCAGACUCUCUCAGUACUGUCUCUACAGAUGGACGGUCAAGUUGACCGCUGUUUUCCCCCCGGUUGGAGGAUUCCUAGAGUCAGGUUGACCACUAUAGCCACCGUUGGGGGGCCUCCACCCUGCAGCUCUCCAGACUAUCAGACUCUCUCAGUACUGUCUCUACAGAUGGACGGUCAAGUUGACCACUAUAGCCACCGUUGGGGGGCCUCCACCCUGCAGCUCUCCAGACUCUCUCAGUACUGUCUCUACAGAUGGACGGUCAAGUUGACCGCUGUUUGGUGUUUUUUUUUAAGUCUUUUUUUUUAGCAAAACCUUCCUUUGUUAGCAGUAGUUUUAAACAUCUUUAUCUUUCAAUACCAGGAAAUACAAGCUCAAUUUCUGGCGAUGUAUUAACAUGUUUUAUUUCUUUAAAAUGCCCCCCCCCACUCCCCCAUGUCUUGUUGUUUUGAAAACCAUUUUACGAUUACACACUGAAGGUUUUAAAGCAGUCUAAUCUGUAUGUUCUGUGGGGGUCUGAACCUAGCCUGAGUACCAGUCUGUUACUGCUCUGUGGGGGUCUGAACCUAGCCUGAGUACCAGUCUGUUACUGCUCUGUGGUGGUCUGAACCUAGCCUGAGUACCAGUCUGUUACUGCUCUGUGGGGGUCUGAACCUAGCCUGAGUACCAGUCUGUUACUGCUCUGUGGGGGUCUGAACCUAGCCUGAGUACCAGUCUGUUACUGCUCUGUGGGGGUCUGAACCUAGCCUGAGUACCAGUCUGUUACUGCUCUGUGGGGGUCUGAACCUAGCCUGAGUACCAGUCUGUUACUGCUCUGUGGGGGUCUGAACCUACCCUGAGUACCAGUCUGUUACUGCUCUGUGGGGGUCUGAACCUAGCCUGAGUACCAGUCUGUUACUGCUCAGACAGCCAAUCCCUUCUAAACACAACGCUCUGGUUGAACCAUAAUACUGACAAAGUUAUACCAAAUUAACAGUUUGUUUACUACUUACUAUUACUACUUUGGCCAAAUAGAUUUUAUAACAGGCAGUGGACACUACAUGUACAGCAAUAAGUCUCACAGGUACCAACAAGGGAAAGAAUGAGGAUUUAAGGUUGUAAACCGGCAACACCUGGUCUCGCCAGCAGAGGGGGCCGAUGAGGAUUUAAGGUUGUAAACCGGCAACACCUGGUCUCGCCAGCAGAGGGGGCCGAUGAGGAUUUAAGGUUGUAAAACCGGCAACACCUGGUCUCGCCAGCAGAGGGGGCUGAUGAGGAUUUAAGGUUGUAAAACCGGCAACACCUGGUCUCGCCAGCAGAGGGGGCCGAUGAGGAUUUAAGGUUGUAAAACCGGCAACACCUGGUCUCGCCAGCAGAGGGGGCUGAUGAGGAUUUAAGGUUGUAAAACCGGCAACACCUGGUCUCGCCAGCAGAGGGGGCCGAUGAGGAUUUAAGGUUGUAAAACCGGCAACACCUGGUCUCGCCAGCAGAGGGGGCCGAUGAGGAUUUAAGGUUGUAAAACCGGCAACACCUGGUCUCGCCAGCAGAGGGGGCCGAUGAGGAUUUAAGGUUGUAAAACCGGCAACACCUGGUCUCGCCAGCAGAGGGGGCUGAUGAGGAUUUAAGGUUGUAAAACCGGCAACACCUGGUCUCGCCAGCAGAGGGGGCUGAUGAGGAUUUAAGGUUGUAAAACCGGCAACACCUGGUCUCGCCAGCAGAGGGGGCCGAUGAGGAUUUAAGGUUGUAAAAUCGGCAACACCUGGUCUCGCCAGCAGAGGGGGCCGAUGAGGAUUUAAGGUUGUAAAACCGGCAACACCUGGUCUCGCCAGCAGAGGGGGCCGAUGAGGAUUUAAGGUUGUAAAACCGGCAACACCUGGUCUUGCCAGCAGAGGGGGCCGAUGAGGAGUUGAGACGAAUUUGAGUCAUUUAAAAAAAAUAAAAACAGCGUCUAGCAGGUUGUUCUGUUGAACAGACAGUUUCUAUACAGGGUCAAUCUUAUUCUCUGUAAAUAGUGCUUAUUCAUUCCAACCAGUGGCGGUCAGUAGAUGACCGUCCUCUCCCUUUUUUCUCUGAGGAGCCUCCACUGACACCAACCAAAUGUGCCUUCUUCUUGUAAUUUUGUAAACGACUUAACUGUGUGGACUUUGUUGUUGUUGUUGUUGUUGAACUCGUUUGCCAAAUGAACUGACAUGACAAACUAGUUUUGAAUUCGUACUGUGGAUGUGUAAAGACAACCGACCGAUAAGGUAAAACUACACUUCCGCGAACUUUCAAUACAUCCGCUGUUUUCCCCCCCGGUUGGAGGAUUCCUGGAGUCAGAAGGAAAUAAGCAUGAAAAUCCCGAAAUCUAGGAUUUAAACAGGGAAUGAGGGUCCAGUGUAAGCGACUGCAGUAGCUCUGCAGAACAGCAGUUCAACUCCGUGAUCUUUACUGUUACAGGUGAACUAACAGCCAGAGUUGGGGAACUGUAAUCAGAUGCGUUACCAGCAAUAACAACAAAAACAUGUAAUCAGAUUACAUAUACUUUUUGGAAAAACUAGAUUACUUCUUGGAUUACUUUUUAAUUCAGAAUGGGUGCUUUGUGGGAUAAAAAGGGGGGCAAGUUUGAUCCACAUGAGGAGAGUCUGACCACAAAACCACUAUAAUGACACACCAAAUGAUGACCACCAAUCAGGAAGCCACUAUGAUGAUGACCACCAAUCAGGAAGCCACUAUGAUGAUGACACACCAAAUGUGUUUGCCGGUUCCUUCUUGUCCUCUUCUAAUGCGUCUUAAGGGGAAAGUAAUCCAAAAGUAACUGAGUUACAUUACUGAUUACAUUCCAAAAAGUAAUCUACCCAACUCUGCUAACUGAAAUAGUACCUGUCGGUCUCCUCUGACCCCACACAUUCAGUAUCGCUAUUGUUACUAUGGUUACCCUUAAUGCUUCCAAACGUGCUCUCUCGUGGAAGGGAUAAAAAUAAUGGACCUAUUCUAUGGAUCCUGGUCUAAAGUAGUGUCCUAUGUAGGGAAUAGGGCACUGGUCUAAAGUAGUGUCCUAUAUAUAGGGAAUAGGGCACUGGUCUAAAGUAGUGUCCUAUGUAUAGGGAAUAGGGCCAUGGUCUAAAGUAGUGUCCUAUAUAUAGGGAAUAGGGUGCUUUGACAUGUUGAUCAUUGACCUUUGACCCCGGGCUCCUGGUUUGAAGACGCCAACAUUUAGUUAGUGUACAUAGAGAUCAUUUAUGUAUUUAUUUGUUCUUGGGUUUGUAAAAGUUAGUGUGUAGUUUAUAUCGUUGAAUGGUGAUAUUAAUUCAUUUUAACCCCUUAACACGUUGUCUUGCUCACGUCCCGGCGUUUGUAGCUCAGUAUGUAUGGCUUGAUUUAAUGGCACCCUAUUCUCUAUAUAGUGCACUACUUUGUACCAGAAUAGUUGCACUAUAAAGCGAGCAGGGCACCAUUAGGCACACAGACACAGUGUGAUUUUAAAGGAGGUUUUCUGACUGUGUCAUCCUUUAGCAGCUCUAUGAAAUAUUUACAGGAUUUCUGGGAGUUGGAGUCGUGUUUAUUAUGUUGUUGCCCCCCCCCCCCGUCUAACCCUUUGACACCUUAAUAACACUUUGAUUGGAGCGUUUGGAGAGUUUUGAUUGGAGCAUUUGAAAGGUCAAAAGUGUUCUGCCCUUGUCCUGUGGUCUGAGGCAGUAUAACUGGCUCAUGAUCACUCCUGAAACUAUAGGACACGUUCCAGGUCAACCGUAUCGAAGUCGAUGCGUUGCAUUAACCAAUGGUUAAUAACAUGUGUGGUGGUUAACUAACAUGAUAAACACUGAUCCAGCUGUCAUGAAAUCUGGCAUGCGUCUGAAACGUAGUCGGCCUGGAACGCGUCCGUUCGUCUUCCUGUUUGUGAGUGUUGUGUUGCCUGUGUUUUUCUGAAGGUUCUCUGCAUGCGUGUGCUUUUUUUUAAUCGUCUGGUCGUGUGUUUAUGAACGUCUGAUUCCUUAAGACUACAAUCAGAGCAGGAACGCACCCUAUCCCCUAUAUAGGGCACUACUUUUGACCAGAGUCCUAUAGGCCCUAGUCAAAAGUAGUGCACUAUGUAGGGGAUAGGGUGCCGUUGGGGAUGUUGCAGCUGUGUGUGUGUGUGUGUGUGAGUACAGAACAUAUAUGUUAGAAGGAAACAUGACGUUUGAAACUUCUGCAUGACAGUGACAAUUUUUUGAUAAACUUCCUCUUUAAAAAUAAAAUAAAAAAACUUGAGAGGAUUUGAAGUACAGAUGAAACUAAGCACUGAUUUGUUUCCUGACUCUGGGUGUCCUGACUCUGGGUGUCCUGACUCAUCGUCAGUCUCCCACCCUAUUCCCUAUCUAGUGCACUACUUUUGACCAGAGUCCUAUGUGCCAUGGGUUGAACGUAGUGCACGUUUUAAGGGGAACAGGGUCCAAUCAGCAUCCAGGAUCCGAACAACCAGUUUAAUAACUGUUGUUAUUCUACUUGUACAGUUUGAUAUUCCUUCCUGUUCUGGGUCGUAAAACAAUAACAACACGUCUCAGUAUAAAAGCUCUGGACUGAGAGGAUCUCUGUCUGAUAAACUAUGGCGGUGUACCAAAUGGGACCCUGUUCCCGAUCUAGUGCACUACUGGUGGCCUGAUCAGGCUACGGAAUAGGGUGCCAUAUUCAGACUCUGAUUAACAACAAUCCAACUAAAAUGUGUCUCUAUACACAAGCAGUUUAAAGAGUGCUGGAAACCAGAGCGCUGGAAACCAGAGCGCUGGAAACCAGACUAAUGUAUUUGGUGAGUGUGUUGUUACCGUUUGAUACCAGAUGUGCUAUGGUGUUUGUAAAUACAUUAUGAAGAGAAUCGUUUCUUUCUCAACUUUGAUGGAAUUUAAAACUCUAUUGCUUACAAGAUUAAAUUUUGGGAGUCAAAAUGAGUCUGUUAUCAAAGGAACAUUUGUAUCGGGGAAAAAAAUAAAGUUAUAAUUUUAACAUUGAA